UAUUCAAAAUUUUUAUUCAAAAACCUGCGUUUUACAGCAAGUGCAGCCAUUGCAAAAAAGUUUUGCGCGCUAGGACCUCUGUGUGUCCGUCCACGUUAGGCUGGUGUAGUCUGGGAAUUACACCUGCAGCGAUUUAUUUGGUGAAGUGCAGCCGUUACAUACUUACAAGUGAGGGUAUUUUUAACACUGCAGCCUUUGGUUUGGUCAAGUGGAGCCUUUGCAUACUUACAAGUGAGGAUCAUUUGUGUGGCCAUCCACGAAAUGUAAUUCAAUUUAAGAUAUUAAACAUCUAAUUUUUAAAUGCA